rnacentral:rRNA from 1 species
UACGUAGGGGGCGAGCGUUGUCCGGAAUUAUUGGGCGUAAAGAGCGUGUAGGCUGUUCGGUAAGUCUGCCGUGAAAACCUGAGGCUCAACCUCGGGCGUGCGGUGGAUACUGCCGGGCUGGAGGACGGUAGAGGCGAGUGGAAUUCCCGGUGUAGCGGUGAAAUGCGCAGAUAUCAGGAGGAACACCGGUGGCGAAGGCGGGUCUCUGGGCCGUAACUGACGCUGAGGAGCGAAAGCAUGGGGAGCGAACAGG